UGCAAGUCGAACGCCUAUAGCAAUAUAGGAGUGGCGCACGGGUGAGUAAUACAUGGGAAUAUCCCCUUUAGUUCGGAAUAACCAAGGGAAACUUUGGCUAAUACCGGAUACGCUCUAAGGAGGAAAGAUUUAUCGCUGAAGGAUUAGCCCAUGCGAGAUUACGGUAGUUGGUGGGGUAAAGGCCUACCAAGCCUACGAUCUCUAGCUGAUCUGAGAGGAUGAUCAGCCACACUGGAACUGAGACACGGUCCAGACUCCUACGGGAGGCAGCAGUGGGGAAUAUUGGGCAAUGGGCGCAAGCCUGACCCAGCCAUGCCGCGUGAAUGAUGAAGGCCUUAGGGUUGUAAAGUUCUUUCGUCGCUGAAGAUAAUGACGGUAAGCGAAGAAGAAGCACCGGCUAACUUCGUGCCAGCAGCCGCGGUAAUACGAAGGGUGCUAGCGUUGUUCGGAAUCACUGGGCGUAAAGCGCGCGUAGGCGGCGUAAUAAGCUAGGGGUGAAAUCCCAGGGCUCAACCCUGGAACUGCCUUUAGAACUGUUACGCUGGAGACUUGGAGGGGAUAGUGGAAUUCCAAAUGUAGAGGUGAAAUUCGUAGAGAUUUGGAGGAACACCGAUGGCGAAGGCAGCUAUCUGGGCCAAGUACUGACGCUGAGGCGCGAAAGCGUGGGGAUCAAACAGGAUUAGAUACCCUGGUAGUCCACGCUGUAAACGAUGAGUGCUAGAUGUCGACUCUUUAAGGCCGUGUCGCAGCUAACGCAUUAAGCACUCCGCCUGGGGAGUACGGUCGCAAGAUUAAAACUCAAAGGAAUUGACGGGGACCCGCAUAAGCGGUGGAGCAUGUGGUUUAAUUCGAGGCAACGCGAAGAACCUUACAGGCCUUGACUUGUCCCUUGGGUCACAGAAAACUGAUCCUCACCUCGGUGGGGG
rnacentral:rRNA from 1 species